CCUACGGGAGGCAGCAGUGGGGAAUCUUGCGCAAUGGGCGAAAGCCUGACGCAGCAACGCCGCGUGCGGGAUGAGGGCCUUCGGGUUGUAAACCGCUUUCAGCAGGGACGAAAAUGACGGUACCUGCAGAAGAAGCCCCGGCUAACUACGUGCCAGCAGCCGCGGUAAUACGUAGGGGGCAAGCGUUGUCCGGAUUUAUUGGGCGUAAAGAGCUCGUAGGCGGUUCCGUAAGUCGAGUGUGAAAAAUCUGGGCUCAACCCAGUGGAGCACUCGAUACUGCGGUGACUAGAGUACGGUAGAGGAGUGUGGAAUUCCUGGUGUAGCGGUGAAAUGCGCAGAUAUCAGGAGGAACACCAACGGCGAAGGCAGCACUCUGGGCCGGUACUGACGCUGAGGAGCGAAAGCGUGGGGAGCAAACAGGAUUAGAUACCCUGGUAGUCCACGCCGUAAACGUUGGGCACUAGGUGUGGGAAGGAAUCAACCCUUUCCGUGCCGUAGCUAACGCAUUAAGUGCCCCGCCUGGGGAGUACGGCCGCAAGGCUAAAACUCAAAGGAAUUGACGG
rnacentral:rRNA from 1 species